rnacentral:rRNA from 1 species
CAGUGAUCUACCCAUGUCCAGGUUGAAGCGCAGGUAAAAUUGCGUGGAGGACCGAACCGGUGAGCGUUGAAAAGCUUUCGGAUGAGAUGUGGGUAGGGGUGAAAUUCCAAUCGAACGCGGAGAUAGCUGGUUCUCCCCGAAAUAGCUUUAGGGCUAGCCUGAGGUAGUAAGUAUAGGCGGUAGAGCACUGAUCGGGCUAGGGGCCGUAAAGGUUACCGAACCCUGUCAAACUCCGAAUGGAUAUACUGUAGAGCCUUGGAGUCAGACUACGAGUGAUAAGAUCCGUGGUCAAAAGGGAAACAGCCCAGACCACCAGCUAAGGUCCCCAAUGUCGUACUAAGUGGAAAAGGAUGUGGGGUUUCAUAAACAACCAGGAUGUUGGCUCAGAAGCAGCCACCAUUUAAAGAGUGCGUAAUAGCUCACUGGUCGAGAGACCCUGCGCCGAAGAUUCCCGGGGCUAAAGUACGAAACCGAAGCUGUGGCUGUAUACGUAAAGUAUACGGGGUAGGGGAGCGUUCCCAUAGGGUAGAAGUCGAACUGGAAGGUUCGGUGGACUUGUGGGAAGUGAGAAUGUUGGUAUGAGUAGCGAAAAGAAAGGUGAGAAUCCUUUCCACCGAAAGCAUAAGGAUUCCUGAGCAACGAUCGUCGUCUCAGGGUAAGUCGGGACCUAAUCCGAGGCAGAGAGCGUAGGAGAUGGACAACUGGUUGAUAUUCCAGUACCGGUAGUAAUUGUUUGAGCAAUGGAGUGACACAGAAGGGCAGGCAAGCAUGCGAAUGGAAGAGCAUGUGUAAGCGUGUAGGGUGGUGCAUAGGCAAAUCCGUGCACUGAAAGCCUGAGGCGUGAUGCGGAGUGAGCAGAGAUGCGAGCGAAGUUGUUGACCCCACACUGUCGAGAAAAGCUUCUAGUGAGAGAGCUACCGCCCGUACCGUAAACCGACACAGGUAUGCGGGGAGAGAAUCCUAAGGUGCGCGGGAGAACCCUCGUUAAGGAACUCGGCAAAAUGUACCCGUAACUUCGGGAUAAGGGUAGCCACUGUUGUGAAGUCCCAUGCGGAUGGAGCAUAGAGUGGUCGCAGAGAAGAGGCCCAAGCGACUGUUUACCAUAAACACAGGUGCCUGCUAAAGCGAAAGCUGACGUAUAGGUGCUGACACCUGCCCAGUGCCGGAAGGUUAAGGAAGGAUGUUCGGAGUAAUCCAAAGCAUUCGACUGAAGCCCCGGUGAACGGCGGCCGUAACUAUAACGGUCCUAAGGUAGCGAAAUUCCUUGUCGGGUAAG